rnacentral:rRNA from 1 species
UACGUGGGGAGCAAGCGUUGUUCGGAUUUACUGGGCGUAAAGGGCUCGUAGGCGGCCUCCGCAAGUCAGUUGUGAAAUCUCCGAGCUUAACUCGGAAAGGUCAACUGAUACUGCGGGGCUAGAGUGCGGAAGGGGCAACUGGAAUUCUUGGUGUAGCGGUGAAAUGCGUAGAUAUCAAGAGGAACACCUGCGGCGAAGGCGGGUCGCUGGGCCGACACUGACGCUGAGGCGCGAAAGCUAGGGGAGCGAACGGG